rnacentral:tRNA from 1 species
GGAUGUGGCGCAGUUGGUUAGCGCGCCAGAUUGUGGCUCUGGAGGCCGGGGGUUCGAGUCCCCUCAUC